UGGCCACAUCACGUUGAAACACCUGUUCCCGUACGAGCUACGAAACUAAGCAACGUUGAGCCUGGACAGUACCAUAGAUAAGUGACCGCUUUGGAAUACCAAGUGCUGUAA